rnacentral:lncRNA from 1 species
AGCGAAUCGAAUAAGCAACUCGAAUAAAACACGCAUAACGCUAAAAUUGAAUAUACAAAAGUGGCACUCAUUUAAGGUUGCAAAUUUGUAGCAUUUACUGCGAACUUCACAAAAUGACAAUUUGUAAUGUAAUUAUUUAUAGAAAAAACGAGCACAGAAAAUGAAAUGAAAUGAAUUGCCACGGAGCGCUCAUUUAACCCAAGUUUGCCUCUAAUACAUAAAUGAGUACCUUUAUUGUUUAGAUUCGCCAAGCCUUUGAGAGUAGCGUAGUUAAUAAAUAAUUAAUAAAGUUAACAUUGACUUGAUCAAGCCGGCUUUUUUUAUUAAUAUAUAUUUGUAUGUAAAACAUGGAAUUCGUGCAAUGAAAAAACACUUUAGAGAUAAACUUUCUCGAUAUUCAAUAUAAGUAUUUGAGGUUAAGUUUAGAAAGUUUCGAUAUUCUUCUUCAAUUUCGUUUUAUUAAUUUCUGAAUUAUUUUUACUUCUUAAAAACAACACGAACACACGUCACUUAAACUUCUUUCGUAAUAUAAGAAAAUACUUAUAACCGACAUAUUUUAGGGGUAACUAAAAAUGAUGCGUAAAUGGCAAAUGGUGUGUAUGAAGUCUUUAAAUAAUAUAUUUGUAGGAAAUGUCUCACACAACAAAAAAUUCGCAGCUUAAUAAAUAUUUUGAUUAAAACUUCACAAAAAAAAUAUUCACUUGUAUAAUAUUUUUACCAUUUUUGAAUGCUUAAGAUAUCGAGUUUUAUUUGUUUAAUCCAUUUGUUAUUAAUUAAUGUUAUUAAUUAAAGAAAAAAAUCGGAAAUUGCUUUAUUGCUUUUAUUCGUAGUCCUUAAGCAAUCCGAAACCAAAGCUCUAGGAAUUGUGCUCUUUGAAAUUUUAUCUUUCAAAAAAUUUAACGUUACCAAUAGUAAUAGAUUUGCAAAAAAUCUUGAAUAAAUUACAUAGUCGUGUAGCCAAAUCAAUAGUUUUGUUCUGCUACGGCGCUAAGAAUUAAGUAAACUUAGUUUAAAGCAUACUCGUCUACGUACAUAUACAUACAUAAAUUUGGAAAUAAGUAUGUAUAUAGUUACAUAUGUAUGUUUUUAUUGCAAUUACUUAACUUUGUUGUGCUAUAUUGUAUUCAACUAAAGCUGCUUAUGUUCAACUUCCAAUUUUCAAUACACAUGCUGUUUUUAAAUGGAAUCCAUCAUAGAACCACCAAAGUUUUAAUUAUACUUUUAUGUAGUCUAACAAUAUCAUUAUCAUUUUAU